AGAGUUUGAUCCUGGCUCAGAGUGAACGCUGGCGGCAGGCCUAACACAUGCAAGUCGAACGGCAGCACAGCAGUAGCAAUACUGUGGGUGGCGAGUGGCGGACGGGUGAGGAAUACAUCGGAAUCUGCCUUAUCGUGGGGGAUAACGUAGGGAAACUUACGCUAAUACCGCAUACGACCUACGGGUGAAAGCGGAGGACCUUCGGGCUUCGCGCGAUAAGAUGAGCCGAUGUCGGAUUAGCUAGUUGGCGGGGUAAAGGCCCACCAAGGCGACGAUCCGUAGCUGGUCUGAGAGGAUGAUCAGCCACACUGGAACUGAGACACGGUCCAGACUCCUACGGGAGGCAGCAGUGGGGAAUAUUGGACAAUGGGCGCAAGCCUGAUCCAGCCAUGCCGCGUGGGUGAAGAAGGCCUUCGGGUUGUAAAGCCCUUUUGUCCGGAAAGAAAAGCUUCGGGCUAAUACCCCGGGGUCCUGACGGUACCGGAAGAAUAAGCACCGGCUAACUUCGUGCCAGCAGCCGCGGUAAUAC
rnacentral:rRNA from 1 species